UUUAUCCUUGUCUUUGGGGAGCAAAGUAUUCAAUGAUCGUUUAGUGAGAGUACUGUUGCUGAAACCCAUAACAAAAUAUUUUACCGCAUCCGUAAAUCUGUUAUAUUUACGAGAUGCAAUUUUUGGAUAG
rfam:Atta colombica isolate Treedump-2 unplaced genomic scaffold scaffold166, whole genome shotgun sequence.